UCAGUCGACUCCUACGGGGAGGCAGCAGUGGGGAAUAUUGCGCAAUGGGGGGCAACCCUGACGCAGCCAUGCCGCGUGAAUGAAGAAGGCCUUCGGGUUGUAAAGUUCUUUCGGGUGAUGAGGAAGGGAGUUAUGUUAAUAGCAUAAUUCAUUGACGUUAGUCACAGAAGAAGCACCGGCUAACUCCGUGCCAGCAGCCGCGGUAAUACGGAGGGUGCGAGCGUUAAUCGGAAUAACUGGGCGUAAAGGGCACGCAGGCGGUGACUUAAGUGAGGUGUGAAAUCCCCGGGCUUAACCUGGGAAUUGCAUUUCAGACUGGGUCGCUAGAGUACUUUAGGGAGGGGUAGAAUUCCACGUGUAGCGGUGAAAUGCGUAGAGAUGUGGAGGAAUACCGAAGGCGAAGGCAGCCCUUGGGAAUGUACUGACGCUCAUGUGCGAAAGCGUGGGGAGCAAACAGGAUUAGAUACCCUGGUAG
rnacentral:rRNA from 1 species